GAAGGCAGGGCCCUGGGCCCAUAAGUCCCAGGGCUGGGACUGAAGGCAGUUAGGGCCCUAGCAGCUGCCAGGGGGAGUGGAGUUUGUGCAGAAAAUCUCUAAGGAGAUACCUGGGUGCCUGCACUACUGCUGAAACCUCUCCUACUCCUCCAUCAGGAAUGAUUUUGAAAACAGGGCAAAAGCAUUCAUUGGAAGAAACUGAUGGGAUGCCCAGGACUGGUGUUUAAAGUGGGAUUCUCCUCAGAAAAAAUGGGACAUAUGGUCACCUUAUAACAAAACACCUGUGAUGUAGCAGUUCUGCUCUAGCUCAUCUGAGACAGGCUCCAGCAUCCUGAAGGAAAGAGAAACGUACCGGCUGAGUCUGGCACCGAGGGACUUAGCAACUGCAAGCUGGCUGCAGAAAAAGAAUGUGGCUUUUCAAACAUCCUGCAAUCUAAAGCAAAACCAGCAGUUCUGACAUGCUGUGAGCAAUAAACAAUGAGCUUUGUCAGCAUGUUGAGAGGAAAUGAUCAUUCCCAGAGUCUCUAUUGCAGGUGCAGUAUGACCUAUGUUCAGCUCUCAGUUACACCAUUCCAAGUCUGAAAUAACUGCACCGAGUCAUUGGAGUUAAUAGAUUUAUGCCUGGUAUAAUUGGGACCUACACCUGGCCCCUUGGUCUCUUCAUCACCUCUUUGUCUUGAAGAUUGCAAUUUGCUUAUGGACUCCCACCACCGGAAUUCCUUCCAACAGGACACACCUCUACACCCUGCCUUAUCUGUAUUCUGAAGUGCACUGCAAGAUGCAGCCAUCUAUUAACUGGGAGUUCUGGUUUCCCUUAUCUUUUGGGCUUAAUCUAAAAUCCAAUGAAGCCAAUGGGAGUCUUUCCAUAGAUCUCAGCAAGCUUUGAAUCAACCCCCUUACUCAAAUGUAUAGAUAUUUUCCAAAUAUGUUCUUUAGUCACUGCAGAAACUCCUGGUAUACUUGUUCUGUUUAUUUGGGAAACAUGAAGUUUGCCCUGCCCAACCCAUGUAAUAUGUGCCCAGUUUCUACAGUGCUGAACACCUGAGAAUAAAUAUAAUUACCUAAUAAGCAAUCAGGAAAUCUUUCUCUAUGAGCUUCCUGCAUACUGAGCAACAUUUAGAUCUAUUUAUAUGUGCAUGUGAGCACAUACAAGACCCUGGAGCUCAAUAACUUUUUCCUGCUGUAGCCUAUGAAAUGUGUAGCUUUGAUUUCUCCCUUCAGUGAAAUGCAGCCAUCCAUCCUUGUGUUGUUUUAAGAAAAAAGGCAUUCAGUUCCAUUAUUCAAUGGUGAAAAAAAAUAUCAGAAUUCUGUUAAGGCUAGUGUUUCCCUCAGGCAUUUCUGGCAUGUUUCAGCUAUAAAUUCAUUUUACAUGUGGCCAGGAAAAGCAACAUCUUGUUGCAUCAUGUAAGAAAAUAGCAUAUUUCUUCCCUGUUGCUCCUGUCCAAUCUGUAUAAGCAGAUGGUUGAACAAAGACAAAAGACCUGUCAUUAAAUACAUGAAUGUGACCCACAAUGCAGUUUUAUGCCUGAGUCCCCACUUAAAAAGACAAGGUCAAAUCUUUUCUAAUUUAUUCCCUCUUUUUAACAGUCUCUGUUUAGUAUAUAUCUCUGUGUAACACGACAACAUUUUCCUUCUCCCCCCAAACCCAUUUUUGUCACUUUCACCUUUUCACAAUUUAUUUUUGGGUGGAGAUAAAAAAUUAAUAUUGCUGUUUCACUGAAUGACAUUGUUACCUCAAACUUCUCUAACAGCUUAGUCCACAGCAUUGAUUUGUCUGUUUUAUGACACAUCCUUGGAGAAAAGUACUACAUAGUAAAAAUAUUAAUGAGCCAAAGAUUCCAGGUUACACUAGAGAUUCUGCAAUGCUUUUGAGGAUUGCUGUAGAACAAUGUGCUAUGUGUUACAAGGACACUGAGUUAGUAAAGUCUCAUCUUCAGCACCAUAAGCACUGACUCUCUCAUUUCCUGCUUUUUCUCCUUUCUAUUUCUCUCAUGACCAAAAGAAGAUCCUUUGCCAUCUCAUUAUCAUUCCUACCACUGUAACGUGUCUGUUAAGGGCUGAUGGCAAUAACUUCAUAGAGGGAAUAAUUUGAGGUCUAUAACAAGAAGUUAUAUCGUUUCUAAAAAACUCAAGACCCCUGCUACAUAUUCAUGAACUCCAUCUCCUGGCACCUUAUCUUUUAACUAUUUAGACAUACAUAGGUAGAAAGCAAUCUCA